GGUUAAGCGACUAAGCGUACACGGUGGAUGCCCUGGCAGUCAGAGGCGAUGAAGGACGUGCUAAUCUGCGAUAAGCGUCGGUAAGGUGAUAUGAACCGUUAUAACCGGCGAUUUCCGAAUGGGGAAACCCAGUGUGUUUCGACACACUAUCAUUAACUGAAUCCAUAGGUUAAUGAGGCGAACCGGGGGAACUGAAACAUCUAAGUACCCCGAGGAAAAGAAAUCAACCGAGAUUCCCCCAGUAGCGGCGAGCGAACGGGGAGCAGCCCAGAGCCUGAAUCAGUGUGUGUGUUAGUGGAAGCGUCUGGAAAGGCGCGCGAUACAGGGUGACAGCCCCGUACACAAAAAUGCACAUACUGUGAGCUCGAUGAGUAGGGCGGGACACGUGGUAUCCUGUCUGAAUAUGGGGGGACCAUCCUCCAAGGCUAAAUACUCCUGACUGACCGAUAGUGAACCAGUACCGUGAGGGAAAGGCGAAAAGAACCCCGGCGAGGGGAGUGAAAAAGAACCUGAAACCGUGUACGUACAAGCAGUGGGAGCCUCUUAAUGGGGUGACUGCGUACCUUUUGUAUAAUGGGUCAGCGACUUAUAUUCUGUAGCAAGGUUAACCGAAUAGGGGAGCCGAAGGGAAACCGAGUCUUAACUGGGCGUUAAGUUGCAGGGUAUAGACCCGAAACCCGGUGAUCUAGCCAUGGGCAGGUUGAAGGUUGGGUAACACUAACUGGAGGACCGAACCGACUAAUGUUGAAAAAUUAGCGGAUGACUUGUGGCUGGGGGUGAAAGGCCAAUCAAACCGGGAGAUAGCUGGUUCUCCCCGAAAGCUAUUUAGGUAGCGCCUCGUGAAUUCAUCUCCGGGGGUAGAGCACUGUUUCGGCAAGGGGGUCAUCCCGACUUACCAACCCGAUGCAAACUGCGAAUACCGGAGAAUGUUAUCACGGGAGACACACGGCGGGUGCUAACGUCCGUCGUGAAGAGGGAAACAACCCAGACCGCCAGCUAAGGUCCCAAAGUCAUGGUUAAGUGGGAAACGAUGUGGGAAGGCCCAGACAGCCAGGAUGUUGGCUUAGAAGCAGCCAUCAUUUAAAGAAAGCGUAAUAGCUCACUGGUCGAGUCGGCCUGCGCGGAAGAUGUAACGGGGCUAAACCAUGCACCGAAGCUGCGGCAGCGAC
rnacentral:rRNA from 1 species